CCCCCCCCCCCGCAAGCCUCUUCCGCCUCCUCCCUCUUGCGGUGCCGCUUCCCCUCGACGCGCCGCUGCAAUCCGCCGCCGUUGGCCGCUGUAUUGCCGCCCAUUCCACAGAUCCGGUGGCCGGCACCCACAACACACCGGAUCUGCGGUCGGUGGACGAACCGCCGCCGUAGGAGGCGCAUGAGCAGCACCUCAAGUUCGGGGCCGGAUUGGCGGCCGCCGGAUCCGCCACCGUCCUCCUCCAAUCGUCGUCCUUCUCGGUUGCGGCACCGCCCCCUCCCGUGGAAGACCUCCGCCGCCCAAGGUUCGUGCCCCCAUUUUCAGCCACCACCACCGCCUGCCUUGAUCCGUUGCGCCGCCCGGCCGCCUGCCUUCCCCCGCUGCACGGUCCGCACCUGCCUUCUGCGAGAUCCAGCAUCCCGCCAUGCAUCACUCCCCCAUUGCGGUCGCGACCACACCUAUUUCCCGUCCGCCGUCCUUCCUUGCCGCGACGGCCGUCCGCCCACUUCCGCCAUGCCACCCCAUUUCCUGCUCUCCCCCGGUGCCCUUCCCGUCCUUGUGCGCCACCCAGCAGGCUCCCCCAUGCUGGCUUAAACCUCUUGCGCCGCACGCCCUCCACUCCUGCUUUCGUCCCGCAACUCCUCCCCCUUGGCAGUGUGUUGCCAUGGCCGACCAAGGGGACGACGGCUUCGGCAACUACCCAUAGCCAGACCCCUGGUUCUCGACCGGCUUCAACCCCUACUCCGGCUCGUCGUCGAGCCAAGCACCGACCGCCGGAGACAUGCCACCGCCGCGCAUGGGUUCUCCGGUUUCAAUAGCGCACUGCCGGGUAGCGGAGGGCUCAAUGUGCCGGCCUUUCCUUACUUUGGGUACCCAUACUUGGCGCCAUGGCUGGGCCGGCGCAUCUGUACUACUAAUGCGCACCUCCUGCCGGCGCACACUCCCUUGCAGAACCCGCAAGGCAUUCCACCUCAUCCACGGCGCCGUGGCAUGGUGGCCCCUCUGCAUCCGUCUCGACGAUGCCAAUGCCUCCAAUUCAUAGCGCAUACGGAGGUUACACCAGGCCAGUGGCCGGUCUGCCCGUGCGGACAUGCCAUCUUUGCACCAAUCAUGGCCUUCGGUCCCUAUGGAGGAUGAUAUCUCUGCUUCAUUAGCUCCCGGACGUCAGAUCACCUGAAGCCAAACACGCCGGGAGGACGUGUCCAACGUUCCUAUUCCGUCAAGCAACGAAGAGUCAAAUCUGUUCGAGGAUGCUAACGCCGGAUUGUCCUCGAACGAGAUCCGUAGAGCCAACUGGAAUGAUUUUCGAAUGGAAACAUUGUGUGCACUGUGGAUUGAACAAAUGAAGCUUGGAAACUGUCCAGAGGGUAAAAUGUCUCCUUUAGGGUGGAGGAACCUGAUUAAGCAUUUCAAAGAAAAAAUGGGCUGGUACCUAGAUCAAAAUCAGUUGCUCCACAGGUAACGGCAGCUAAAAAUCUUCCAUACAUGUUUGACCGUAUUGAAAAGCCAAACAGGUGGAGGCCGAGCAGGGGGGCUACGUGGCCCGCAAACAUAUUUGGGAUCACUUCACUCAAAAGCUGAAGGAGGUGGAGCGCUUGAAGUUCGAGGAGCCAAAGUGGGCUUCCAUGCUUCCGGACAUGUUCUCUGACGUUGCCAUUAACUGGUGCUCCAUGCUUGGAACAGCGUUCGAACGAAACACAGAAGAGCGUGAUUCUGAGGACAG